rfam:Nippostrongylus brasiliensis genome assembly, scaffold: NBR_contig0006843
ACAUUGAUAGCACAGUGGUUAGUGCAGUCUGCCGGAAACAGAAGGACGCGGGUUCAAUUUCCGUCCUAUGUC